AAAUUUGUAUCUCUCUCACUCAAUCAAACAGUUGGGGAUACUAGACUCUGAAGUCUGAUUCUAGCUCCCAUGUGGACUCUCCCUAUGUUUGAUUCUGCCAUAGGACCUUAACGAAGGGAAUUUCUGGUUGCAGAGUACUCUGCUCUUUCGGUCCACAAUAUCGACCGAUACCUCCUCGUAGGACAGAUCCUCCUGAAGUGAAAGGGGCUCAUGGGUCAAAAUGUGAGAGGGGUCUAGGUUGUAUUUGCGUAGCAUGGACACAUGAAAAAUAUUAUAGACCCUGAAUAGUUCUAGAGACAG
rnacentral:lncRNA from 1 species